rnacentral:lncRNA from 1 species
CAGGCCGACUGGACCGGCACGUCUUCAUUGAUCUCCCCACGCUGCAGGAGAGGCGGGAGAUUUUUGAGCAGCACCUGAAGAGCCUGAAGCUGACCCAGUCCAGCACCUUUUACUCCCAGCGUCUGGCAGAGCUGACACCAGGAUUCAGUGGGGCUGACAUCGCCAACAUCUGCAAUGAGGCUGCGCUGCACGCGGCGCGGGAGGGACACACUUCCGUGCACACUCUCAACUUCGAGUACGCCGUGGAGCGCGUCCUCGCAGCCCUGCGGGUCGAGAGGACUGGCGCUGCCUGUGUCUUACUGAAAUUUAUUUUCGUGUAACCAUUUACUUUUAUGUGGAAAUCGAAAAGCUUUUGAUAAUAGUAGCAAAGCAGGAAGGACUGAGUGGGAACCACAAGCCAGUUGAAAGAAAAUACAUGACGUACUUGAGUGCUCAGGACCACGAGCUGAUUCAAGUUGUACAGAAUGGACACUUACAGAUGUGUGGAAAAUCUGAGACAGGAAAUGAAGCCUCACCAGGACUGCCAAAAAGAGCAAGAUCCUGUCCAAGGAAGAACAGAAAGUGGUUGCGUUUCAUGAGUCGGGCCACGCCUUGGUGGGCUGGAUGCUGGAGCACACGGAGGCCGUGAUGAAGGUCUCCAUAACCCCUCGGACAAACGCCGCCCUGGGCUUUGCUCAGAUGCUCCCCAGAGACCAGCACCUCUUCACCAAGGAGCAGCUGUUUGAGCGGAUGUG